GAUGAACGCUGGCGGCGUGCCUAAUACAUGCAAGUCGAGCGAAUGGAUUAAGAGCUUGCUCUUAUGAAGUUAGCGGCGGACGGGUGAGUAACACGUGGGUAACCUGCCCAUAAGACUGGGAUAACUCCGGGAAACCGGGGCUAAUACCGGAUAACAUUUUGAACCGCAUGGUUCGAAAUUGAAAGGCGGCUUCGGCUGUCACUUAUGGAUGGACCCGCGUCGCAUCAGCUAGUUGGUGAGGUAACGGCUCACCAAGGCAACGAUGCGUAGCCGACCUGAGAGGCUGAUCAGCCACACUGGGACUGAGACACGGCCCAGACUCCUGCGGGAGGCAGCAGUAGGGAAUCUUCCGCAAUGGACGAAAGUCUGACGGAGCAACGCCGCGUGAGUGAUGAAGGCUUUCGGGUCGUAAAACUCCGUUGUUAGGGAAGAACAAGUGCUAGUUGAAUAAGCUGGCACCUUGACGGUACCUAACCAGAAAGCCACGGCUAACUACGUGCCAGCAGCCGCAGUAA
rnacentral:rRNA from 1 species